rnacentral:tRNA from 1 species
UUGGAGAUAAGUAACUUAGGCUGCUAACUUGAGUUUGGGAAUUUUUUUCCAUCUUCAU